AGAGUUUGAUCCUGGCUCAGGAUGAACGCUGGCGGCGUGCUUAACACAUGCAAGUCGAACGAACCUUCGGGUUAGUGGCGGACGGGUGAGUAACGCGUGGGAAUCUGCCCUCAGGAGGGGGAUAACGGCUGGAAACGGCCGCUAAUACCCCAUAUGCCGAGAGGUGAAAUGAAUUUCGCCUGAGGAUGAGCCCGCGUCUGAUUAGCUUGUUGGUGAGGUAAUGGCUCACCAAGGCUUCGAUCAGUAGCUGGUCUGAGAGGAUGAUCAGCCACACUGGGACUGAGACACGGCCCAGACUCCUACGGGAGGCAGCAGUGGGGAAUUUUCCGCAAUGGGCGAAAGCCUGACGGAGCAACGCCGCGUGAGGGACGAAGGCCUCUGGGCUGUAAACCUCUUUUCUCAAGGAAGAAGAUAUGACGGUACUUGAGGAAUAAGCCACGGCUAAUUCCGUGCCAGCAGCCGCGGUAAUACGGGAGUGGCAAGCGUUAUCCGGAAUUAUUGGGCGUAAAGCGUCCGCAGGCGGCCUUUCAAGUCUGCUGUUAAAACGUGGAGCUUAACUCCAUCAAGGCAGUGGAAACUGUUGGGCUUGAGUGUGGUAGGGGCAGAGGGAAUUCCCGGUGUAGCGGUGAAAUGCGUAGAUAUCGGGAAGAACACCAGUGGCGAAGGCGCUCUGCUGGGCCAUAACUGACGCUCAUGGACGAAAGCCAGGGGAGCGAAAGGGAUUAGAUACCCCUGUAGUCCUGGCCGUAAACGAUGAACACUAGGUGUCGGGGGAAUCGACCCCUUCGGUGUCGUAGCCAACGCGUUAAGUGUUCCGCCUGGGGAGUACGCACGCAAGUGUGAAACUCAAAGGAAUUGACGGGGGCCCGCACAAGCGGUGGAGUAUGUGGUUUAAUUCGAUGCAACGCGAAGAACCUUACCAGGGUUUGACAUCCUGCGAACCUCUAAGAAAUUGGAGGGUGCCUUCGGGAGCGCAGUGACAGGUGGUGCAUGGCUGUCGUCAGCUCGUGUCGUGAGAUGUUGGGUUAAGUCCCGCAACGAGCGCAACCCACGUUUUUAGUUGCCAGCAUUUAGUUGGGCACUCUAGAGAGACCGCCGGUGAUAAACCGGAGGAAGGUGUGGACGACGUCAAGUCAUCAUGCCCCUUACAUCCUGGGCUACACACGUACUACAAUGCUACGGACAAAGGGCAGCAAACUCGCGAGGGCAAGCAAAUCCCAUAAACCGUGGCUCAGUUCAGAUCGUAGGCUGCAACUCGCCUACGUGAAGCAGGAAUCGCUAGUAAUCGCAGGUCAGCAUACUGCGGUGAAUACGUUCCCGGGCCUUGUACACACCGCCCGUCACACCAUGGAAGUUGGCCAUGCCCGAAGUCGUUACUCCAACCCUUGUGGAGGAGGACGCCGAAGGUGGGGCUAAUGACUGGGGUGAAGUCGUAACAAGGUAGCCGUACCGGAAGGUGCGGCUG
rnacentral:rRNA from 1 species